AGUGAACGCUGGCGGUAGGCCUAACACAUGCAAGUCGAACGGCAGCACAGUAAGAGCUUGCUCUUACGGGUGGCGAGUGGCGGACGGGUGAGGAAUACAUCGGAAUCUACUUUUUCGUGGGGGAUAACGUAGGGAAACUUACGCUAAUACCGCAUACGACCUACGGGUGAAAGCAGGGGAUCUUCGGACCUUGCGCGAUUGAAUGAGCCGAUGUCGGAUUAGCUAGUUGGCGGGGUAAAGGCCCACCAAGGCGACGAUCCGUAGCUGGUCUGAGAGGAUGAUCAGCCACACUGGAACUGAGGCACGGUCCAGACUACUACGGGAGGCAGCAGUGGGGAAUAUUGGACAAGGGGCGCAAGCCUGAUCCAGCCAUACCGCGUGGGUGAAGAAGGCCUUCGGGUUGUAAAGCCCUUUUGUUGGGAAAGAAAAGCAGCAGGUUAAUACCCCGAUGUUCUGACGGUACCCAAAGAAUAAGCACCGGCUAACUUCG
rnacentral:rRNA from 1 species